rnacentral:rRNA from 1 species
GGUGAGGUAACGGCCCACCAAGGCGACGAUCAGUAGCCGGCCUGAGAGGGUGGACGGCCACAUUGGGACUGAGACACGGCCCAAACUCCUACGGGAGGCAGCAGUGGGGAAUAUUGCACAAUGGGGGAAACCCUGAUGCAGCGACGCCGCGUGAGCGAAGAAGUAUUUCGGUAUGUAAAGCUCUAUCAGCAGGGAAGAAAAUGACGGUACCUGACUAAGAAGCCCCGGCUAACUACGUGCCAGCAGCCGCGGUAAUACGUAGGGGGCAAGCGUUAUCCGGAUUUACUGGGUGUAAAGGGAGCGUAGACGGUGAAGUAAGUCUGGAGUGAAAGGCGGGGGCCCAACCCCCGGACUGCUCUGGAAACUAUUUGACUGGAGUGCAGGAGAGGUAAGCGGAAUUCCUAGUGUAGCGGUGAAAUGCGUAGAUAUUAGGAGGAACAUCAGUGGCGAAGGCGGCUUACUGGACUGACUGACGUUGAGGCUCGAAAGCGUGGGGAGCAAACAGGAUUAGAUACCCUGGUAGUCCACGCCGUAAACGAUGAUCACUAGGUGUCGGUGGGUAUGGACCCAUCGGUGCCGCAGCAAACGCAGUAAGUAUUCCACCUGGGGAGUACGUUCGCAAGAAUGAAACUCAAAGGAAUUGACGGGGGCCCGCACAAGCGGAGGAACAUGUGGUUUAAUUCGAUGAUACGCGAGGAACCUUACCCGGGAUUGAAAUGUAGAUGACUGAUGGUGAAAACCGUCUUCCCUUCGGGGCUUCUAUGUAGGUGCUGCAUGGUUGUCGUCAGCUCGUGUCGUGAGAUGUUGGGUUAAGUCCCGCAACGAGCGCAACCCUUAUUGUUAGUUGCUACGCAAGAGCACUCUAGCGAGACUGCCGUUGACAAAACGGAGGAAGGUGGGG